ACGGAGGGGGCUAGCGUUGUUCGGAUUUACUGGGUGUAAAGCGCACGUAGGCGGCCUAUUAAGUUAGAGGUGAAAGGCCUGGGCUCAACCUAGGAACUGCCUUUAAUACUGGUAUGCUUGAGUUCGGAAGAGGGUAGUGGAAUUCCAAGUGUAGAGGUGAAAUUCGUAGAUAUGUGGAAGAACACCGGUGGCGAAGGCGGCUACCUGGUCCGAUACUGACGCUGAGGUGCGAAAGCGUGGGGAGCGAACAG
rnacentral:rRNA from 1 species